rnacentral:rRNA from 1 species
UACGGAGGGUGCAAGCGUUAUCCGGAUUUAAUGGGGGUAAAGGGUGCGUAGGUGGGUAGGUAAGUAAGUGGUGAAAUCUCCGGGCUUAACUCGGAAACUGCCAUUGAUACUAUCUGUCUUGAAUACCGUGGAGGUUAGCGGAAUAUGUCAUGUAGCGGUGAAAUGCUUAGAUAUGACAUAGAACACCAAUUGCGAAGGCAGCUCACUACGGGAUUAUUGACACUGAGGCACGAAAGCGUGGGGAUCAAACAGG